rnacentral:lncRNA from 1 species
GUCUCGAGUUAAGACGUAAAGUUCCUCUCACUUUCGCAAAUUCUCAUGUCUGUCUUUGCAUAGAAAAGUUAUUUCAUAGAUUUAUAUACCACAAAAGUAUCGCAGGACACGUUUUUUUAAUCAAACUAUUUAGAAAAGUUGGCGGUUACGUUAGUGACGCUAAAAGACAAAAAUAUUGCACACUCACAGGACAUGUUGCCUGCUCGCAGCUGGAGCUGAUCUGAUUGCGUCGUUCACAGAUUUUAUGGUCAAAAGGAUGUGAAGAAUGCAAAAGAUAAAGAGCAGUUCCCACCUGGUUUCCAUGGCAUCCAUCCAACUCACAGCAGGAAAGGAAGCAGAGCUCGGCAGUGCUGAGUUCGCCCUCUUCUGGACGGAAGUGAAGGCUCCAAUAAGCCUUGGUCUAAUUAGCCAUGCUGUCAAAACAUUUCUGCACAAGUCCUUUUAGAAAACUCUGCUGCAUGCGUAGCUGAGCUAUUCCGAGGGGAGAUUUGUUAAUUUGGGCUUAUGUAACACCCGCUGCCUCGCUGCCAUUACGGGAAAAACAAAUGAAAAGGUCAAAUGAUAGUAAAUUCAACCCAAAAGGAACCUCUUAACACAGUUUGGACAACACCCUUUGCUCAGGAAAAGCUCUUGCAUAUAAAAGCAUUUCCCUUAGGUCCUAUACUUGCUCUUCAAGCAAUUUUAUAAACUGAUUAGUGUAUUGAAUUUCCAAAUACUUGUUAGGGGUUUGAAAUAAUAGAGUUAAACAUAUAAAGCAAGCACCUUUAUUU